GGGGGGGGGGGGCGGGGGGGCUGGGACAGGGAGGGCGAGCGAACAGAGGAGGGGCUUGCUGCGCGGACGUGAGCGGCGGACGGGUGAGUAACACGUGGACAACCUACCUAUAAGACGGGGAUAACUUCGGGAAACCGGAGCUAAUACCGGAUAAUAUAUUGAACCGCAUGGUUCAAUAGGGAAAGACGGAUUUGCUGUCACUCAUAGAUGGAUCCGCGCCGCAUUAGCCAGUUGGUAAGGUAACGGCUUACCAAGGCGACGAUGCGUAACCGACCUGAGAGGUAGAUCGACCAGACUGGAGGUGGGAGGCGGUCAUGACUCCUACGGGAGGCAGCAGAAGGGAAUCUUCCGCAAUGGUCGAAAGCCUGACGGAGCAACACAGCGGAAGUGAUGACGGUCUUCCGAUCGUAAAACUCUGUUAUUAGGGAAGAACAAAUGUGUAAGUAACUAUGACCGUCUUGACGGUACCUAAUCAGAAAGCCACGGCUAACUACGUG
rnacentral:rRNA from 1 species